AGAACGAACGCUGGCGGCAGGCCUAAUACAUGCAAGUCGAACGCACCUUUCGGGGUGAGCGGCAGACGGGUGAGUAACGCGUGGGAACCUUCCCAGUGGUACGGAAUAACUCUCGGAAACGGGUGCUAAUACCGUAUACGCCCUUUGGGGGAAAGAUUUAUCGCCAUUGGAUGGGCCCGCGUCGGAUUAGCUAGUUGGUGAGGUAAUGGCUCACCAAGGCUUCGAUCCGUAGCUGGUCUGAGAGGAUGAUCAGCCACACUGGGACUGAGACACGGCCCAGACUCCUACGGGAGGCAGCAGUAGGGAAUAUUGGACAAUGGGCGCAAGCCUGAUCCAGCCAUGCCGCGUGAGUGAAGAAGGCCUUAGGGUUGUAAAGCUCUUUUGGUGGGGAAGAUAAUGACGGUACCCACAGAAUAAGCUCCGGCUAACUUCGUGCCAGCAGCCGC
rnacentral:rRNA from 1 species